UAAAAAAAAAUUGAAAAAUGCCACUCGAUGCUUUCCAUAAUGUUGAACGCCCACGAUGCGUCCACAGCAUCGCGUGACUAGUAAAAGAAAAAAUGUCCAACUCUCCGGUACGGUAGUAUAAUAUAUUAUGUAUGCCAGUCUACUAAUAAAAGGAUACACUAUCAAUACGCUCAGUGGCGUGCGCAGAGAGGAACAGUUUAGGAGUGAGACGGUUAUAUUCUCUCUCCCGUCCAUUAAAUAUACAUCAACAACUAUGAGUAUUUUUAUUUAAUAAUUUAUAAUCUUGAAAUAACGUAGGUACAUACAUAUUUUGGCCAAAUUACAAGGAAAAGCUAGAUUAGUUGAAUCAAACAAAUUCUGG